UUGAGAAUUUUUAUUGAAUCUUACUAUUAGAUUCGAUUCUCGAUUCAAUAACUACGGUAACAUAGUUCACAGUAGCAGUCGCUGAUUUGGUUUGAUUCUGUUACUCAAAACACCGAAUCCUAGUGAUUAUUGGUCUUUAACAUUGUUAUAUGAUUGAGAUAUUGUUUGAGCAUUAUUUUAAUUUCUCUUCAAUUGAUUUGCUUGUGUUUCUUCUUGGUUACUCUUGACCACUGGAUGCUAGUGUUGUUGAGUUAUUACAUGAUAUAAAUAUUUAUUCUUGAAAACAUUAUUUUUUUUUUUACCUUGCAUUAUUCUGCAGGU
rnacentral:misc_RNA from 1 species